GCCCGAGUGCCGCCGUCACCACCAGCGCCCGACCCCGAGCUCCUCCUCCCGUGCGCCUCCUCCCUGGCUUCCCUCGCGCGUCGUCCGGCGACCGGCGCCGCCGCCGCCGACCACCCAGGUCACGCCGCCGCUUCCAUGCCUUCUCUCUCUCUAAUCUUCUUGUCUCUCCUCUCCAGGAGCUCAGCGCCAGCGCCAUGGAUGUCCAGUCCUCGAGCUCUCCUUGGAGAUUCGAACGCCGCCACGGGACCUCCACCAGCCAGAUCCGGCGCCUACCUCCCGGAUCCGCGCUCCCUCCACCUCCUCUACCCGAUCCGGCGCCGUCGAACCCGCCAAGACCUCCACCAUGGAGUUCCUAUAGCUCGUCCCCUGCCUCCUCGUCCUGUGCUCGAGGGAGACGCCCCUCCAGCGCAUCCAGGACAAGGCCCACCGCCAGCCGGUCGUUGUUGCACUCACCGGCGACCUCACCCUCCCCUCUGCACUGCCCUCCACCUCAACUGAUGCUUCUCACCAACAGGGAUAUAUUUAGCUGGUCAUAGCUUGUGGAUGUUCUCUGUUAAUUUUUGCACACAAGGUGUUUGUGUGUUUGUCCAAGCCAAUGUUCAUGAGCUUUAUCUUUGCUAUAAAUGACAUGGCUGAGAAAGUCCCUUCAAUGAAAGGAGGAGUAUAGUCUUGGCCAUGGCUGGGAAGGAAGGAGAACAUGUAAAUUGAGGAUUUUUCAGAGAGAUUAGGACUGCUUGAUUUAUCAGAGAGAAAACCUUGAUCAGGAGCUUCGUCGAUGCAGGCCUUCAUGCUGGACCGAGGAGGAGAAGAAGGGGGGCACGUCGAAGGUGCCGGUGGAGCGCGCCGUCGAGAUUGUUGAUGACAGCGACACGGGCGAGGCCGGGGAGGAGGUCAUGGUCAGCUAAUGCUUCUGGUCGUACGUCGUUGGCGUUUUUGCGCAAAAGCCCCUCUAUUUCUUUGAAAUAAGCCCGCAGUCCCUGUUUAAGUGGCACUCUGGAAAAACGUUUCAUGUUUGCGCGACAUCCCGGGGACGACGCCACCGCCCCGGCGCCUGCCAGAUCCAAGCGGGGAAGGGGAGGAGGGGGCAUCCCAGCGGUGGUGAAGCUUGGCGGAGUAGGGGGCGGGUCGGCCUGCUGGUUUGCCGGCACUGGAAAGGCUCGUGGCAGGGAGCUCCUCUCCUCUGCUUUGGGAGGUGGCUGAAGCGCUCGGGCUGCAGAGCUGCGGGGCAGGGGCCGAAGGUGGUGGUGCGGACGCUGGAUGGGACUUGGUGCAGGUCUCCGGCGAGAUGGGGAUAGCGUGGAUGAGGUCUGGACGCCGGCGGUGCUUGGGCAUCGGGCGGCCAUGGCCAUCUCUCUGCAAAAAAUAGAAGACAGAGAGAGAGCUCUUAGAGAAAAGAAGCACGGGGAAGAGAAGAGAGAUGGAGGGAAGAAGGGAAGUCUGAAGAUAUGGCGAUGGUACAUAGAAGAGCUAACGAGAAGAGAAAACUGGGGGCCUUCACCCGAGCGGCCACAGAAUUCUUGGGCCAUCGGCAGACGAGCAGCACCACCAGGCCGCCUCCGCCACAGGCCCAGCCAGCUCCUGCAUGUGCUGGCCAGCCGCUAGAUCUGGCGAGCAACCGAGCCGCCACUGCAAACCAGCACCACAGCCCCCCAUAGUCACCAGCCACUCACGGGCACGGGCUCCACCACCACGGCAUGGGGACUCCACCCCAGGCCCCUAUGCGCCGACGAGCAGGCCACCGCCGCCCCAGCCGCAGCAGUAAACGCACACACCAAAGCUCUGCCCCACCUUUGGCAGCCGGGUGCCGGUAAGUGGCUGUAGCCAGCCACCGAGGCCGCGCACUCCAGGACUGGAGUUCAUCAUCGGCAGAGCACGGGCGGCUGGUGGGGUGGAGCACGGCCAUGCGUGGUAGGAGGAGAACUUGGGGUAGGGCAAACGCGCGCCAAGCCGGUAGUGGACGCGCUGUAUAGAGAAGAGGAGAGCAGCGCUGGUGGUGAGGUGGAUGGAUGGAGAAGAGGGGAGGAGUAGCGCUUGGUGGUGAGGUUGCAGGAGGAGGAAGAUGGAGGCGGAGCGGCGCUGUGGACUGAGGAGGAAUAGCGAUGUGGAUGGAAAAGCUUAGAAGGGGCACGCAGUGGGCGCUCGGUGGGGAUUUGGCUAUUGCUUCUUUUUUAAUCAUUUGUUGUUGUUAGAUGCACAGACUGGAAGAAGCUACUGGAGCGUGCUAGAACCACCGAUUAGAAUAUUUUGUGGUGCUCAUCCGUUGGAAUUAUGUGCGACUGUUCAUGGCGUUCCAAAAAAUGGUUUAUUCUGCUAACAUGUUCUCAGUGUCCUAUAUUGAACUCCUUUUGCUCCCUUGACCCUUCUCACAUUGGUACACUGUGAUUAUUUGAUUGUACCGAGCUGGCACACUUGCACUCUGAUGGCAACCGUUCCAAGUUAGUAAGCCAUAUGCUUAUAUUCA